rnacentral:rRNA from 1 species
UUUCUUGGAGAGUUUGAUCCUGGCUCAGGACGAACGCUGGCGGCGUGCCUAAUACAUGCAAGUCGAGCGGACU